AUUGAACGCUGGCGGCAGGCCUAACACAUGCAAGUCGAGCGGAUGAAGGGAGCUUGCUCCUGGAUUCAGCGGCGGACGGGUGAGUAAUGCCUAGGAAUCUGCCUGGUAGUGGGGGAUAACGUCCGGAAACGGGCGCUAAUACCGCAUACGUCCUGAGGGAGAAAGUGGGGGAUCGUCGGACCUCACGCUAUCAGAUGAGCCUAGGUCGGAUUAGCUAGUUGGUGGGGUAAAGGCCUACCAAGGCGACGAUCCGUAACUGGUCUGAGAGGAUGAUCAGUCACACUGGAACUGAGACACGGUCCAGACUCCUACGGGAGGCAGCAGUGGGGAAUAUUGGACAAUGGGCGAAAGCCUGAUCCAGCCAUGCCGCGUGUGUGAAGAAGGUCUUCGCAUUGUAAAGCACUUUAAGUUGGGAGGAAGGGCAGUAAGUUAAUACCUUGCUGUUUUGACGUUACCAACAGAAUAAGCACCGGCUAACUUCGUG
rnacentral:rRNA from 1 species